rnacentral:lncRNA from 1 species
UAAUUUUAAAUCACACUUUUAAUAAAUAAAAUUCUUUUAUGGAACAAAGGAUUUUUUUUUUUCGUAAGAAACAGAUAGGUAAAAUAAACUAGAAAAAUAUUCACGAGGGGGUAUUUGUAGCUACUGCCAUAGCUUCUGGCAUAGAUAUGCACACAUUUCAAAGGCAACUCGUAUGGAGUUAUUCACUGAAGUGAGAAUUCAAGGUGAAUUCAAUGUGACUUUUCUAUUGAGAUAGCAAGUGGUUCCCCCCUUAGAGGACCACAUGUCAUGUUCAGAGGACCUGUGUUGUGGGCAUAACCCAAGACAUUUAAUACCAAGAAGAAAAUUAACAACAGUUUCCAGAGACUCCUCUAUAAUGAGUCAAUGGAACAAGAUAAGUCCUCAAAUAAAUAAAUUAACAAUAAAGAAUUUAAGCAAAAACAUCCCCCAAACCUUUAUUGAUUACUUAAACCUAAAGUUGGAAGCAAAUUACAAUAAAAAAAUAAUGACAUCACCCUCUAAAAAUAUGCAUUGUUCUGUUUCAUGCAGCAAUACUCCUUCGUUCGAUAUUAAAGUUCCAAAUUGUAUUGUUUCAUGUUCUCGAGACUAUUUUUAGAAGGUAAUGUAAUUAUUGCUUUGUUGUAAUUUGUUUCAAACGUUAGGUUUUAAGUAAUCUAUAAAGUUUUAUAUUUUAUUUUUUGUGAUUUACGAAUUUUAUGUUGAAUAUCAAAACCUGGAGAUAUGAUCUGUGUCAGCGAUACUUUCAGUUUGGUUGUGUGGCAUUAAAUUUAAAAUCCACUUUAAAUUCGCUUUGAAUUCUCACUAUAGUGAAUAACCUUGAAACAUCACUGUGAAGCCAAAAAAAGACAAACCGGUAAUUAAUUAAACAAACUUGUAAAAGACUCUUCAUUAAACAGCAUGAUAUAUCUAUAUAUAUAUAUUUAUUUUUAAUUCAGACUUAAAAAAGCAGAAUUAGAAAAUAUAUAAACUUGUCCAUCCACUUUGAAGGUUGGGUUUGAAGUUACUUGGUAAAUGGACCCAGAAUUUUUUAGUUUAAUAGAAGUAUGCCGGUAUAAUAAAAUAUUUUAUAAAUCUAGAAAUUAAGUUUUGUGUAGAGCAUAACUGCCACAUCACAUAAAUAAUUCAAGAUAAAAUAGAUAAAAUAUAAGCCGAAUACUGCGGAGUAUUUCAUUUAAUACAGAACUGAUAUAUGAAUUUGUUCAUAGAUGACACUAAAGUAUCAUAUGGAAUCCCAAAUAGAAUAGACAAAUCGGUUGUAUGUUUCUAUAACGUGAAUUGCACUGUGUAUAGCUCAUAGUCUAAAGGCCUAUAUAGAUAAGGAGGAUGAAGUUCUUUGUAGAACAUAAAAUAAAGACAUUACGUUAUAAUAUAAAUAUCACAUUCGAGUUUUCUAUGAAUACAUAUCAGUUUUCAUUUUAUGACAUACUCGCUGUCAGCAGACGUGAAGACAACAUGAAGAGCAGUGCCAUACAGUAGAAUCAGAUUAAACAUAUCACGCAAUAAAUAAACUACUUUACAUUCUCUCCAAAUAAUAAUAAUUGAGAAAUAUAAACUAUAGGGAUAAAUCUACCGUUUAUGUAAGCAGGGUGUCCUGCUUUGAGGAAAGACAUUUCUUUUCAUAAUAAGCUAGAAGGAACAGGGUAAAACACAGAAUGCUAAAAUAAUUAGGUGCUGACCCCAAAACAUAGCCCUGCUCACAACAUUUCUAUAUGGCAAACGCUUCAGACAGAUCCAUAUUCACUGACUUGAAUAUAUAUAUUAAAAAAAAAAACGCGCACACACACAAACACACACACACACACACUCUCUCUCUCUCUCUCUCUCUGUAGUGCCCUUACCAAACAUGCAUUUAUUGGAAUUCUGAUACAUUACUAAACUAAUACAUUGUUUCUACUUUUUAUAAUUUUGUUCUUGUAAGGCAAACAGGAAUGAAUUUUUGUCAGGAAUAGACAGUGGUCAGCAGCAGACACAAGGCACUUGUAUUAAAUGGGACACUCUAGGCACCAUAAUCACUUCAUCUAACCAAAGUGGUUUUAGUACUUGGAGUCCCCUGGCACCUUCCCACAGUUCCCACAGUUCAGCUUGAAACCAUUUUGUUUGUGGUUUAACUUAGAAUAGGUUUCCCAGGCUGCCUGAAGCCCGUGUCUCUCUGCUGCUCGGGGCUAAUUGUUCUUGGCAGAAGCAGAGAUGGACGGUGGUUAUAGGUUUGAGAAAGUCAGCUGAGCGCUCUCACUCUGUCACAGCUGCCCAUUGCUGCUAAGAAUUGGUAUGGCUAAUCGAAAUGUAACCCCUGCAUUAGCCAAGAAAAUGGAUUAACACUGAAACAGGGAGAUGAGUACUGUGGGACUCCAGGCACUAUAACCACCUCAAUGAGUUGAAGUGGUUAUGGUGCUUAGAGUUUCCCUUUAAUAAAAUACCUGAGCAGUCAAACUAUGCAUACAAUCAGAGGUACAUUAACUCAGCUCUCUGGACACAGACAAUAUGGAACUUUAUAAAUGUUAUCAAUAAUAUAACUCACAAAGGAUCAUAGCAGUUUUAGUUGCCAUGGCAGAUCAUUACAUACGUGUUGGAUGCUUUGUGAAUAAAUACACGUUAAUUCUACAAAACCAGCCGUAUUGAUUCCUUUUAAAACUAUCUGAAUCCUAAGCAAUGCUAGGCAUCACCUUUCUUGUAUCUCCAAACAGCUUUCAGGCCUCAUAUGUGUCUAGGAAAAUCUGGCUGAGGCUGCGGAUCUAAUACACGCGUUACGUCUGAAAAUGACUAAAUGGGAUUAUUAGUUUGCCCGCAUCAAAGGCUGUUUAAAGAAAAAAAGCUAACAUUUCAAAGUACACAAAUGCAUAUUGUACCAAGUGCCUAGAUAUAAAAUGAUUGUCUAGCAAGUGCCAGUUCUGAAAAUAUGGCACUGAAAUCAAGUAUGGCAAUAAAAAGUAGAAUGUUACAUUAAACUCGCUGCUUGUACAGGGCUUAGAUGUAUUAAAACAAAUACAGCCAUACACACACAUAUACACACACACACAUAUUAGCAUACACACUUAUUAGCAUACCGUAUAUAUACUGAUCAGCCACAACAUUCAAACCACCUGCCUUAUAUAGUGUAGGUCCCCUUGUGAUGCCAAAACAGCUCUCAUGCAUCGAGGCAUGGACACCGCAUGACCUCAAUGUCAUGUGUUAUCUGGCAUCAAGGCAUUAGCAGCAGAUCCUUUAAGUCCUACAAGUUGCAAAGGUAGGGCCUCCAUGGAUCAAAUUGUUGUUCUACCAUAUCCCACAGAUGCUCAGUCAGAUUGAGUUCUGGGAAAUUUGGAGGUCAAGGAAACACUUUGAACGUUUCAUGUUCCUCAAACCUUUACUGAACAAUUUUUACAGUGUGGCAGGUUGCAUUGCAUUAUCCUGCUGAAUGAGGCGACUGCCAUCAGGGAACACUAUUGCCAUGAAGGGGUUAAGUGGACUGCAAUAAUCUCUAGGUAGGUGGUAUGUGUCAAGGUUACAUCAACAAGAGGACAUAGUCUUAAAUUAGAGGGACAAAGGUUUUAAAAUAAUAUCAGGAAGUAUUACUUUACUGAGAGGGUAGUGGAUGCAUGGAAUAGCC